UACGUAGGGUGCGAGCGUUAAUCGGAAUUACUGGGCGUAAAGCGUGCGCAGGCGGUCUGUUAAGACCGAUGUGAAAUCCCCGGGCUUAACCUGGGAACUGCAUUGGUGACUGGCAGGCUUUGAGUGUGGCAGAGGGGGGUAGAAUUCCACGUGUAGCAGUGAAAUGCGCAGAUAUCAGGAGGAACACCAAUGGCGAAGGCAGCUCGCUGGGACGGUACUGACACUGAGACGCGAAAGCGUGGGGAGCAAACAGG
rnacentral:rRNA from 1 species